UCAUGGGCGGACCGCCCGGCCGGUUCAUGGAGCCGCCGGGCCGGUUCAUGGGCGGACCUCCGGGCCGGUUCAUGGGCGGACCGCCGCCGGGCCGGUUCAUGGAGCCGCCGUUCCGUCCGAACCGGAUCCCUGUCAUCCACAUGGACGACGACCAGGACUCGGACACCAUUCUGGACAUUGACAUCACCGAGUGACGUCACACCGGGUGUCGCCCAGUGUGACGUCACACUGCAGAGCUGAGCCUCCCUGAGUAGGAAGCGGGCGGACCGAUGUAUGACGUCACGUCAGCUGGCCGGCGCCGGUGCCCGCACCACUGGCCUCCAGCGGCGGCGAGCCGGCACUGCGCGGCCGGGCGGCCGGAGCUGCCCCGGCGCCAGGCGCUCGGCGACCGGGCCCCGAGCAGCUGCCGGCGCCCCGUGCAGCUGCCGGCGCCCCCAGCAGCUGCCGGCGCCCCCAGCAGCUGCCGGCGCCCCGAGCAGCUGCCGGCGCCCCGAGCAGCUGCCGGCGCCCCCAGCAGCUGCCGGCGCCUCGAGCAGCUGACGGCGCCCUCAGCAGCUGCCGGCGCCCCAAGCAGCUGCCGAUUCAAUACCGAGCGCAGACGAGCCGACGGCCGACCCGACCCGGGCCGCGCCAGCUGUUAUAUGACACAGAUGAACGCCCAAACUGCCGACCGCGCCGACUGCUGUAGUGGCUGUUAAACGAGGAUAUUGAAAUAAAACGUCGGAACGGAGACCGCCUUUAUAAAGAAUUAAAAUGAA